rnacentral:lncRNA from 1 species
UCUUUGAAUGGUGAUUAUGGGCAGUUAUCAAUUUUCAAUGAUCAUAUUGGUUAGUUCAAUUAUACAUUUCCCUACCCAAAAAAUAAAACACACUAGAGUUUUUAUUUUCCAAACUCCUUUCUUCUUCCUCUUCAAUAUUUUUUUUUCUUCUAUUAUUUAUCCGUCGCAUCGCGCGCCUUACUACACUAGCAGUGAAUUAAUAUCAAAUAAAAGAGCUCA